rnacentral:rRNA from 1 species
CUUAAUUGGGCGUUAAGUUGCAGGGUAUAGACCCGAAACCCGGUGAUCUAGCCAUGGGCAGGUUGAAGGUUGGGUAACACUAACUGGAGGACCGAACCGACUAAUGUUGAAAAAUUAGCGGAUGACCUGUGGCUGGGGGUGAAAGGCCAAUCAAACCGGGAGAUAGCUGGUUCUCCCCGAAAGCUAUUUAGGUAGCGCCUCGUGAAUUCAUCUCCGGGGGUAGAGCACUGUUUCGGCUAGGGGGCCAUCCCGGCUUACCAACCCGAUGCAAACUGCGAAUACCGGAGAAUGUUAUCACGGGAGACACACGGCGGGUGCUAACGUCCGUCGUGAAGAGGGAAACAACCCAGACCGCCAGCUAAGGUCCCAAAGUCAUGGUUAAGUGGGAAACGAUGUGGGAAGGCCCAGACAGCCAGGAUGUUGGCUUAGAAGCAGCCAUCAUUUAAAGAAAGCGUAAUAGCUCACUGGUCGAGUCGGCCUGCGCGGAAGAUGUAACGGGGCUAAACCAUGCACCGAAGCUGCGGCAGCGAACGUAUCACUUAAAGCGAUUCAGCGGGUUACGAUUGACGGAGCGAAGCGACGUCAAAGCGUAUACAAAGUCGAGUCGGUUUAAGGAUACGUU